CUGAGGACGGACUCGACGCCGGGAACCGAAGACGGUUUGAGUGAUUUUAUUUUUUAAAGAGGUCUGUCUUAUGCAAAUUUGAUACGUCCCACGAGGAGCUGCUUCACUGCAGGGAGACGUUUUCCGGACAAAUUAUCCUCCUACGACCCUGCAGGGAUUCGUCACGAGGUGAGCGCUUAUCUGAGCGCGCAGAUCCAUUUAGCCCAACGAGUGACUGUGCAGCUCCGCCCCAGACGUCUCCUCCCGUGAAUCUGGCUUCAGCAGCAGGAAGAUGAACGACACAAUUAACCCGUGCUUGAUAGCAGCUCAGUGAGUAAUGGCUGCUUCUCACUGCCUGUCUGAGCGCAGGCAAACACAGCGGUAAGCAGCGUGUGUGUGUGUGUGUGUGGUCUGAGGAAUUAAUACAUACGACUGUGGAACCCGCUCUGUGGCUCGGACUCUGAUGUGUACAGUAAUAAUAGCUCUGUAGGUUCUGGUGUCCAGAUUUAUGACAUGUGCGAGUGUUCCCGUCUUUGUUUGCGUUUGUAGUUGUGUGAAUCCCAGCGUGUGUUUGUAGGUGCUGCUCUGUCCCUGCCUUUGCUUCCUGUUGUAUACUCUAUUAAAGACCAGUCCUCUGGGAGUGGACAGAUAGGACUGUCAUGUGGUAAUUACCUCAGCUCAUUAAAAGUGACCCCGGGCUUUGUUCUGCCAUCUGGAAACGGUGGCCUGCCUCCUGUUGGACAUGUGUUUGUGAGUGACACCGCUUCCUCGCUCUCACAGUGUGGGAAACCAACACCUGUACAGUUUACAGAGGAGCUGGAAACUCCGUCAUCUCCAGUGUCCGGUUUAAAGAAGAACCACCAGUCACCAGACUGAACAAGUCGAAAGGUGAGUUGGGCACUUCCUGUCACGUACAUAUAACUAAACACCACCUUUGCUGUGCUUUUAGAUGUGACUUGUACUAAUGUGUGAGAUGGUCACUUAAAGGUCCAGACGCAGCCCUGCAACGUUUCAACCUGGCUCAGCAGAAUGAAGGCUGAACGGCGUCCUAGUGCCUGAGAGGAAGCAGGAGAAGUCGCUCUCAUCUAGUAAACUGUUGUGAGGAGUAGCACAUCGCUAAUGGACAAGUGCAGGGAGAGAAUGAGUCAUAGCACUGUGUUCACAAGAACCUCGUCUCCUCCCCUGUGAUGUGUGUGUGUGUGUGUGUGUGUGUGUGUGUGUGUGUGUGUGUGUGUGUGUGUCCACGCAGCCAGGAGAGAGAGGAGCAAACAGAGCAGUAGGAUUGUCAAGCAGCUGAUUAUGCAGGCUCACAUUUUCUAAGUUAGACUGAACGCAUUGCAUUGGGAGGAGGUUCCAGUGGUUUUAAAAUGAACGACAACGCCACAGCGUCUUCACCACCCACAGUGACUUCAAUGACAAAUAUACAGUAAAGAUUAAUUAAAAACUGAGAAAUUAUAAACAAACAAAAGUAGAAUUUAUUGCAUAGCUGCACUAGAAGUAAUAUACCAGAAGUUAGAACACAGAACAUAUUUGAUUUAUGAUUCAUGUGCUAAAUUAAAGCGAUUUUAAAAUGUGGGUGUGAGCUCUGAAAUGGCGUUUGGCAUCAUUUAACAGUGAUUCAGACGCAGCACGUCUGGCUGCCAAAUGAAUGCACUGACAAAAAACCCAGCUGUGUGCGUGUGUGUUCCUGUGUGUAUUCACAUGUGCGUUAAUGUGCAUGUGUGUGCGUGCGUGUGUGUGAGACUGGCAUACUAACAGGAGCAGGUCUGUGUCUGGAGGCGGGCUGUUACUAAGCAGGGUGGUUGCUAGGUGGCGGAGCGGGGAGGGAGCCGCGCUUGAAGUCGCUGAUGGAAUCUGAGGGUUUACCCCUGUGACGGCGCGUGUGUGAGAGUGUUGAGGGGAAACUCGUGUUUUAAACUCCUGUUUAAAUCAUGCGCCGGCGCUAAAAAGGGAAUCCAAACAUGUAUGUGAUGUGACGUGGAGAGCUCAUCAGAACGUAAUCAGUGCCUCGUCAAAACCGCUCGUGUUCAACAAUAGACGUGUGAGUCAUUUACUGUCUCUUUCUUUGCAGAUUGAUGGCAGAAAGCAUCGACAGACACAGAAACCUCAGCUUCUCCCACGACGACUACUGUAUAACACACAGCAGGGGAAUCCUUGCAUUGGGCGACUUCGCAGUACCUUUGUGUGCUCACAUACACACGGGCCCAUUUUGAUGUUUGUCGAAUGCUUUUUGUUUCAACUUACCAUUAGGUCCACGGCUAAAUUUAGAGCAGUCGGCGUUUCUCCUGUCAGAUCUGGUCUGAACCAGUCAGGCACAGACUCGGUGGAGGGGCGGAGGUUUGAUGGGGCGAAGCAGGUUUCCACCCGCGAUGCUGAUAUGAAGGCUCCGAACGCCAGCUAUAACGGACACAUGCAGCAAAAGCAUCGACGCAAAUCAGACCGUCCCCGCUUUUACGCAGGAUACUCAGAGUUAAGAUUAGUCGGGGGGCGUGGGUGAAUGUUGUUUUUUCUAAUUUUACUGCAAACUGUUGAAGUAGUAGGUGUUUGGCUGUGCAAGCUGCACCGCCAACGCUGGAAAAGCUGCAUCCUUCUUUGUUUACAUGUUGUUUUCUGGGUUUAGAAAUAGCGAUGCAAUGCAACGCCUCCCAGAAGCCAGGCUGAAAUGGAACAUUGGGUCCUUGGGUCACAGUCGUAGGUGGAAACACUGAAUCAUUAAGCAGUUCCUAUGCAUAUUUGCUUUUUAUAUUUAAACUUGUUUAUUGUAAAGAUAAACCCCUUUUCUAGUCUUUAUAAUUCACACCAGUGCAUUCAGAGCCCCAUUUCUGGUGAUAUCACAACCAGCUCCCCCCAUUGGCCGAUGAGCAGCCACUGAGCCCACCAAUCGCACCCACUAGUAACAGCUGGUUGCCCCGCCUCCUCCCUCCACUUUAUGAAUGAAGAUUUUUCUGAUGGAGGGGGAGGAGCAGGACAAAAUGAAUAGGGAAGAAGGACGGGAGGGAUGGUGGAAGCGUAGGAGUAAGUAAUGUAAGUAAGGGGGGGCAGGGGAAGUAUAAGGAGGAGGAAGGAUGAACGGGGAGGCGAUGAGUCACAUCUCUGACCUAGAUCCCUGCGGUCUACUUUUUAUUCUGGUCACACCCUCCUCUUAGUGUGUGUGUGGUAGCAUGUACAGAUGGCCAGUCCACCGAAAGCCAGUCAAACACACUUUAAACGGUGAAAUGGCUGCAAGUAUAAAUAUACUUUAUACUCCUGCAUUACUGGGUCCCACAGGCUGCUCAGUCAGGCUGAAAGCAGCCCAUCGUUUGGUGGUGCCUGUUUGACAGGUGGUCUGUGUCAGUGGAUGUAAAAUCAAACACUGGUGCAUUAAGGAGACCUAAUUGGAUCAGAGGAGAUUAAGUACCCAUCAAAAAAAUGUUCACUUUGCUGUUUCACUCCACUGUAGCGUGAGUAAAGUAUGCUGUGUUAUUAUCAUCAACUCAGUGGAUGUGGGCUGCUGAGAUAAGCCUCUCAUUGGCUGACGAGUCAAAGCUGCUUCCUUCCUGCUGUCUCCUUGGUCUUUUACUAUAUUUACUGGGAAACGGGGGUCGUUAAGACCACACUGUGAUUAGUUACUAAAGGGUCCUUUGUUGACAAUAAACUAUACUAUACCAUGACUUUUAUGGCCACAUACUAUUCCAGACCCUUUUUUGACGACAUUUGAUGCUAUCACCCCAUCUUUUAUAAAAUGACUAUGACUAUUUUUAAAGGCAUCACGACCUUUUUUGACGACAUACUACACUAUGACUUUUUGGUGACAACAUGUUUUACGGUGACUUUCAUGGCCACGUUCCUACAGUAUAUGGCCAUAAAAAUCCAAUGUGACCUACAGUAUAUGUGUUUUUUUUUUUACAACAAACAAACUAUGACUUUUUUUGGCGACAUACCACUAAACUAUGACUCUUUUCCAUCACAUGCUAUAAUAUGACUGUUGUUUUUACAAUGACUAUUUUUAUAAUAAACUAUUUUUAUGACCAUUUUUUGACGACAUACUAUACUAUGACUAUUGUUAACAAAAUACUACACUAUGACCUUUUUCAUGACACACUAAAAAUAUUAUACUAUGACCCUUUUUUAUGACAACAUACAAUCCUAUGACUAAAUAUUUGAUGACAUACUAUGACAUACUUAUGGUCACAUACAGUACUUUGACAACCCCCCCCCCCCCCCCCCGCAGUUGAUGACAACCGUAUGACUGACAUACUAUACAAUGACCCGUUUUGGACAACAACAUUUAUAAUAUGUAACAUACUAUGCUAUGACUACAUUUGACAACCUACCAUACUAUGACUGUCGUCGACAAAAUACUACACAAAAAUGACAUUUUUAACGCUAAACUGUGACUUUUUGGACGACAUUUGAUGCUAUCACCCCAUCUUUUAUAAAAUGACUAUGACUAUUUCUAAAGGCAUAAUGACCUUUUUUGACAACAUACUAUGUUAUGACUUUUAUGGCCACAUAUGAACCUUUUUUGAUACAUACUUUACUAUGACUAUUUUAUAACAUAGUAUGCUAUCACUAUUUUUAAUAACAGACUAUGCUAUGACCAUUUCAGAUGACAUACUAUACAUUUUUUUUAUCAAUCCCAGAGGGAAAUUGUUUUGCCAAAUUUGUAUUGCUCUCAACACAGGAAGAAACUAAAGGUAAGCCCAACAGAUGAAAUACAUAUACAGUAUAUAAAUAAACACAUACACAUGCCAAGACAUACACCCAUAUACAUAUUUAUACAUACAUACAUGUGGAUUUACUUUCUCAAACACCUACUUACUGUACAGUACAUAUGGUGUUAUUUUUUCAUCACAUACAUUGACACUUUUUUGACCACAUCACACAAUACUAAGGUAUGUUUUUGACCAUAACAGUUUUUACAUGUUACUUCACCAGGCCUCUUUUGUUUUGUUCAGGAUCUUUCAAUGUCCUUAUGCCUCUGUCUAGUUGGUGAACGACGUGUGCUGUCAUGGUGUUGACGCUGAGAUGGGCAUGUUAAAUAGUGAUGUGCCAGAGGCCGAUUCUGAUCCCCGAUGAGAGAAACAGCAGCAAUAGGGAAUCGACUGCAAUUGGAAAAGUCGUCUUCACAUCCACCAAUCAACAUCCACCAAUCAACAUCCACCUGUCAUUAGAGAUUUUGUUAAAAGCCUGAAAAAUAAUCUGGUGACUCUCAAAGAACUGAGCAGACCACUGUGCAGUUUGAUUUCAUGCAACAUCCUCCUUCCUGAAGUUCCUUACUUGUCUAUGCUGUGUUAACAAAGAAGUGUGCAAUAAACCAGCUGCGCUGCACCUAAACUACUGUGUUUUUUCGUCAUUUACAGUAGAAGUAUAAAAGUGUAGAAAAAAGGUUUAUAGUAUGCAGUCAAAAAAGGGUUAUAGUAUGUGAUGAAGAAAGUAUCAUAGUAUAGUAUGCUGUCAAAAAAAGUUCAUACUAAAGUAUGUCGUCAAAAAGGGUCACAGUAUACCGUGUGAUGGAAAAAAGGUAAAAAAAAUAGUCAUAGUAUACUCUGUGAUGAAGAAAAAAUUAUAGUAUAGGAUGUUGUCAAAAAAUGUUCAUAGUAUAGUAUGUCGUCUAAAAGCUUUAUAGCAUAAUAUGUGAUAAAGUAAAAGUCAUAGUAUAGUAUGGCGUCAAAUACAAAUACAAUAUAGGUUGUUGAAAUACUCAUGGUAUACUUUGUGAUGAAGUAAGUGGAAUAGUAUAGUAUAUUUUAAAAAACAGUGAUAGUAAGGUAUGUCAUCAAGAAAUAGUCACAGUAUACCAUGUGAUGAAAAAAGGUAAAGAAAAUGUCACGUCAAUGAUGAAACUAUGACUAUGACAAAUCAUAGUCAUAGUUUCAUCACAUUGUGAUGAAGAAGGUAUGAUAGUAUAGUAUGUCAAAAAAUGUAUGUAAUGAAGAAAAUACUGUAUCUGUAUAGCAAAAAAAUAAAAAUAAUAUACUUUGUGAUAAAGAACAUAUAGUAUAGUAUGUUGUCAAAAAGAAUCAUAGUAUAGUAUGUCGUGAAUGUUCCUAGUAUAGAAUGGAAUAAAGAAAGUGUCAUAGUAUACAGUAGUAUGUUAUCAAAUACAGUCAUUGUAUAUGGUCAAAAAAUAUUCAUGGUAUACUUUGUAAAGAAGAAAGUAUCACAGUAUAGUAUGACAUCAAAAAGAGCCAUAGUACAGUAUAGUAUGUGAGAAAGAAAGCAUCAUCAUGUAGUCAAGAAAGGUUGAUAAUAUAGUAUGUAGUCAAAAAAGGGUCAUUGUAUAGUAUGUGACGAAGACAAUAUCAGUGUAGUAUGUGAUCUAAAAGGUUCAUAGUAUAACGUGAUAAAGUAUAGUGAUUGUAUAGUAGGUCGUUAAAAAAUAUUCAUGGUAUACUUUUGCAAUUAAGAAAGUGUCAUAGUACAGUAUAUUAUGGCAACAAAAGGGUUCAUAGUAUAGUAUGAGAUAAAGGAAGUAUCAUUUAUGGUUAUGCAAUAAUAUAAGGAAGACCCAACUUCAUUUUAAACAUGCAACAUAUUCAGAAAAUGAGCCACAAAAUUAAACAAUCCUAACAUUAGAUUCUAGUCUAAUCUAGCUGCAAUGCUUUUAGUCACUGAUGCAGAACUGAUCACAUAUGAGUCUGGAAAGGGAUUCAGAAUGUUUGAGUCUCCUGCACACUGAGGAAAGCUGCACGGUGUUAGAGAGGUGACAAGCAACUAUACAGAGACGAAGGAAGAUUCUCCAAAACAGCUUUUACACUGUGGGCCCAUUGCCAGAAACCUGGAAAAUGCUCCCAGACAAGCACAGAUGCAGACAUCAGUAGUUUGGGAACGGCUCCAAGAGUUGCAUGAACACAUGUUUUGGCAUCUGCAAUUCUCUAACGAGCUCAUACAACUCAAGUCACUAUUGUUACCAGGGCUGGACUGGGUGAAUUCCAUUCACAGUGGGUGGCUCAGCAGUAUAAUCACCAUGUUAUGCUGCGUUUAGCAUGUGACAAAAGUGUCAAAUAACACAUUGUUGUCCAUAGACUGAGAGGAUGUGAUUUCAUGUGACGAUCAGAGCUUAAAUAAUGCUGGAAUUCAAAUAAUAAAAAGUCGCUCUUGUCCAAACGUGUCCACAUUGUUUUUUAAUGCAGUUUUGGAAACGGGUCAGAAAGACGUCCUUCAUACCAUCAACAAUAGCGCUCAGUGCUUCGAAUGUUACAAUAUAGAAGAAG